CCGUGGGGCUUCGGCCCCAUUGAGAUAGCACCCUUUGUUUAUGAGUACCCUUGUUUCCUCGGCGGGCUUGCCCGCCAUGAGGACAAUAAAAACCUUUUGUAGUAGCAGUAACUUCAGUUAAUAAUAGAGAAGGGUUUAUAAAAGAUUGUUUAUA
rnacentral:misc_RNA from 1 species